GCCUGGAUGGCUCAGUUGGUUGAGCAUCUGACUUUGGCUCAGGUCAUGAUCUCAUGGUUCGUGGGUUCAAGCCCCACAUUGGGCU
rnacentral:tRNA from 1 species